rnacentral:tRNA from 1 species
UCCCUGGUAGUAUAUCGGUUAGUACACGCGCUUGUCAUUAGCCGCAGUAUUGAACUAAGUUGCGCGCGAAAGCUGGGUUCGACUCCCAGCCAGGGAG